GACGAACGCUGGCGGCGUGCCUAAUACAUGCAAGUUGAGCGCUGAAGGUUGGUACUUGUACCAACUGGAUGAGCAGCGAACGGGUGAGUAACGCGUGGGGAAUCUGCCUUUGAGCGGGGGACAACAUUUGGAAACGAAUGCUAAUACCGCAUAAAAACUUUAAACACAAGUUUUAAGUUUGAAAGAUGCAAUUGCAUCACUCAAAGAUGAUCCCGCGUUGUAUUAGCUAGUUGGUGAGGUAAAGGCUCACCAAGGCGAUGAUACAUAGCCGACCUGAGAGGGUGAUCGGCCAAAAUGGGAAUGAGACACGGCCCAAACUCCUACGGGAGGCAGCAGUAGGGAAUCUUCGGCAAUGGACGAAAGUCUGAACGGGCAACGCCGCGUGAGUGAAGAAGGUUUUCGGAUCGUAAAACCCUGUUUGUAGGGAAGAACGUUAGUGAGAGUGGAAAGCUCAUCAAGUGACGGUAACUAACCAGAAAGCGACGGCUAACUACGUG
rnacentral:rRNA from 1 species